GACGAACGCUGGCGGCGUGCUUAACACAUGCAAGUCGAGCGGAAAGGCCCUUCGGGGUACUCGAGCGGCGAACGGGUGAGUAACACGUGAGCAACCUGCCCUUGGCUUCGGGAUAGCCUCCGGAAACGGGGAUUAAUACCGGAUGUGACUGCUUCCUGCAUGGGGGGUGGUGGAAAGUUUUUCGGCUGGGGAUGGGCUCGCGGCCUAUCAGCUUGUUGGUGGGGUGAUGGCCUACCAAGGCGACGACGGGUAGCCGGCCUGAGAGGGCGGGCGGCCA
rnacentral:rRNA from 1 species